rnacentral:rRNA from 1 species
ACUCGUAGACUCCUACGGGAGGCAGCAGUGGGGAAUCUUAGACAAUGGGGCAACCCUGAUCUAGCCAUGCCGCGUGAGUGACAAGGCCUUAGGUCGUAAAGCUCUUUCGCUGGGGAAGAUAAUGACUGUACCCAGUAAAGAAACCCCGGCUAACUCCGUGCCAGCAGCCGCGGUAAUACGGAGGGGUUAGCGUUGUUCGGAAUUACUGGGCGUAAAGCGCGCGUAGGCGGAUCGGAAAGUUGGGGUGAAAUCCCGGGGCUCAACCCCGGAACUGCCUCCAAAACUAUCGGUCUAGAGUUCGAGAGAGGUGAGUGGAAUUCCGAGUGUAGAGGUGAAAUUCGUAGAUAUUCGGAGGAACACCAGUGGCGAAGGCGGCUCACUGGCUCGAUACUGACGCUGAGGUGCGAAAGCGUGGGAGCAAACAGGAUUAGAUACCCUGGUAG